rnacentral:rRNA from 1 species
GACGAACGCUGGCGGCGUGCUUAACACAUGCAAGUCGAACGGUGAAAGCGGAGCUUGCUCCGCUGGAUCAGUGGCGAACGGGUGAGUAACACGUGGGCAACCUGCCCCUCACUUCGGGAUAACUCCGGGAAACCGGGGCUAAUACCGGAUAUGACCUCCUUGGGCAUCCUUGGAGGUGGAAAGUUUUUCGGUGAGGGAUGGGCCCGCGGCCUAUCAGCGUGUUGGGGGGGUAGUGGCUCACGAAGGCGACGACGGGUAGCCGGCCUGAGAGGGCGACCGGCCACACUGGGACUGAGACACGGCCCAGACUCCUACGGGAGGCAGCAGUGGGGAAUAUUGCGCAAUGGGCGAAAGCCUGACGCAGCAGCGCCGCGUGCGGGAUGACGGCCUUCGGGUUGUAAACCGCUUUCAGCAGGGAAGAAGCCGCGAGGUGACGGUACCUGCAGAAGAAGCACCGGCUAACUACGUGCCAGCCGCCGCGGUAACAC